rnacentral:rRNA from 1 species
CAGUGAAAUUGAACUCGCUGUGAAGAUGCAGUGUACCCGCGGCAAGACGGAAAGACCCCGUGAACCUUUACUAUAGCUUGACACUGAACAUUGAGCCUUGAUGUGUAGGAUAGGUGGGAGGCUUUGAAGUGUGGACGCCAGUCUGCAUGGAGCCGACCUUGAAAUACCACCCUUUAAUGUUUGAUGUUCUAACGUGGACCCGUGAUCCGGGUUGCGGACAGUGUCUGGUGGGUAGUUUGACUGGGGCGGUCUCCUCCUAAAGAGUAACGGAGGAGCACGAAGGUUGGCUAAUCCUGGUCGGACAUCAGGAGGUUAGUGCAAUGGCAUAAGCCAGCUUGACUGCGAGCGUGACGGCGCGAGCAGGUGCGAAAGCAGGUCAUAGUGAUCCGGUGGUUCUGAAUGGAAGGGCCAUCGCUCAACGGAUAAAAGGUACUCCGGGGAUAACAGGCUGAUACCGCCCAAGAGUUCAUAUCGACGGCGGUGUUUGGCACCUCGAUGUCGGCUCAUCACAUCCUGGGGCUGAAGUAGGUCCCAAGGGUAUGGCUGUUCGCCAUUUAAAGUGGUACGCGAGCUGGGUUUAGAACGUCGUGAGACAGUUCGGUCCCUAUCUGCCGUGGGCGCUGGAGAACUGAGGGGGGCUGCUCCUAGUACGAGAGGACCGGAGUGGACGCAUCACUGGUGUUCGGGUUGUCAUGCCAAUGGCACUGCCCGGUAGCUAAAUGCGGAAGAGAUAAGUGCUGAAAGCAUCUAAGCACGAAACUUGCCCCGAGAUGAGUUCUCCCUGACCCUUUAAGGGUCCUGAAGGAACGUUGAAGACGACGACGUUGAUAGGCCGGGUGUGUAAGCGCAGCGAUGCGUUGAGCUAACCGGUACUAAUGAACCGUGAGGCUUAACCUU